rnacentral:tRNA from 1 species
GGGGUUGUAGCUCAGUGGCAGAGUGUUCGCCUCCUAUGCGUAAGGCACUGGGUUCAAUCCUCAGCACCA